UACGUAGGUGGCAAGCGUUGUCCGGAAUUAUUGGGCGUAAAGCGCGCGCAGGCGGUUCCUUAAGUCUGUUGUGAAAUCCCUCGGCUCAACCCUGGAGCUGCCUUGGAAACUGGGGGACUUGAGUGCAGAAGAGGAGAGCGGAAUUCCACGUGUAGCGGUGAAAUGCGUAGAGAUGUGGAGGAACACCAGUGGCGAAGGCGGCUCUCUGGUCUGUAACUGACGCUGAGGCGCGAAAGCGUGGGGAGCAAACAGG
rnacentral:rRNA from 1 species